UACAGAGGUCUCAAGCGUUGUUCGGAUUCAUUGGGCGUAAAGGGUGCGUAGGUGGUUGGGUAAGUCAAAUGUGAAAUCCCGGAGCUCAACUCCGGAACUGCAUUCGAUACUGCCCGGCUCGAGGAUUGGAGAGGAGACUGGAAUUCACGGUGUAGCAGUGAAAUGCGUAGAGAUCGUGAGGAACACCCGUGGCGAAGGCGGGUCUCUGGACAAUUCCUGACACUGAGGCACGAAGGCCAGGGGAGCAAACGGG
rnacentral:rRNA from 1 species